CAAUGUGAGGGGUUUACAGAUCCAGAUUAUCAGGUAAUGUGAGGGGUUUACAGAUCCAGAUUAUCAGGUAAUGUGAGGGGUUUACAGAUCCAGAUUAUCGGGUAAUGUGAGGGGUUUACAGAUCCAGAUUAUCAGGUAAUGUGAGGGCUUUACAGAUCCAAUCUUACACCUCCUGGCAGCUCACAGACUGAUCAGGGCCACGCCCCAAUAAUUUUCAAACAUGUUUGAUAUUUAGGAUUUAAAAUCUGG